UACAUGCAAGUCGAACGGUAAGGUCCGAAGUGGCAACACGGAGGAUACACGAGUGGCGCACGGGUGCGUAACGCGUAUGCAACCUGCCCCCGACCGGGACAAAACAGCUGGAAACGGCUGCUAAUAUCCCAUGGUCAUGCGGAAGGGCAUCCUUCUUCAUGUAAAGAUUCAUUGGUCGGGGAUGGGCAUGCGUAUUAUUAGGUAGUUGGCGGGGUAACGGCCCACCAAGCCGACGAUGAUUAGGGGUCCUGAGAGGGUUAACCCCCACACUGGAACUGAGACACGGUCCAGACUCCUACGGGAGGCAGCAGUAGGGAAUAUUGGGCAAUGGGAGCAAUCCUGACCCAGCCAUGCCGCGUGAAGGAAGACGGCCCUAUGGGUUGUAAACUUCUUUUGCCGCAGAGUAAACCCGGUCACGAGUGGUCGGUUGAGAGUAUGCGGCGAAUAAGUAUCGGCUAACUCCGUGCCAGCAGCGGC
rnacentral:rRNA from 1 species